rnacentral:lncRNA from 1 species
GUGGGGGUGGCGGCAGGUAGCAGAAGAGGUGGAUGGGAGAGACACUGGUCUUCCGGGAGGAACCAGCUUGCUGACACCUGAUUUGUAGACCAGGGAGAGCCAUUUUGGACCUCUGACCUCCAGAACUGGGAAAAAGGAGUCAGAGAGCAAGAGACGGCUGUUACCUCCAGCUUUCAAACCCAGUCUAAUCAUGAAGCCUCAUAAAAGAAGAACCAGAGAAGAGGCAGCACGAAGACGUGGCCAGGAAGGGGUCACAGACAGGAACACAAGGGCCUCUGGAUGCUGGAGAAGGCACGGAUCUCCCCCGGAGCUUCCAGAGGGAGCCAGCUGUGCAGGCACGUCGAUUUUAGCCCAGUGAGGCCUGCGCCAGAAACCUGACCUGUAGUAACAGAAUAAAUUCG